UAGGGAAUCUUCCACAAUGGACGCAAGUCUGAUGGAGCAACGCCGCGUGAGUGAAGAAGGUUUUCGGACCGUAAAGCUCUGUUGUUGGUGAAGAAGGAUAGAGGUAGUAACUGGCCUUUAUUUGACGGUAAUCAACCAGAAAGUCACGGCCAACUACGUGCCAGCAGCCGCGGUAAUACGUAGGUGGCAAGCGUUGUCCGGAUUUAUUGGGCGUAAAGCGAGCGCAGGCGGAAGAAUAAGUCUGAUGUGAAAGCCCUCGGCUUAACCGAGGAAUUGCAUCGGAAACUGUUUUUCUUGAGUGCAGAAG
rnacentral:rRNA from 1 species